UGGUUCAAAUAUGAAUAUUGUUAUGAACUUCAUCAAAACUUAUGUUUUUGUGCUUCAUAUUUUUAUUUGGAGUUAUUAUGGGGCAUAAUGUACAUAAUUAAUUAUAGUAGGAACCGUUCAUGCAGAAUACUGUCUUGUAUGGGGCACAUAUUGGUGACGCACAUGAUACCUCGUGCGAUUGGCCUACAGCGCCAUCUUUAGAAGCACAUAUGCUGCUGACGAGGUCGGUUGUGCUGUCUCUCGCUCUUCAAAUGAGAGCGCUGCUUCCUCCAUGCUGUACGGGCAGACUGAAGGGGAGAGAAGGUGUAUCCCAAAAAAAGUUUAAUUGUGCUCUGUGUGUUUCUGCAGACCUGCUUUUUGCAGAAUAAAACAUCCUGAGACCUCCUCCAGCCGCAUUGUCUUCAUUGAGAACAACAAAACACAACCAGAGUAAACCUGUUACAUAAAAUGGUGCCGUGACCUACUGGAUCAACUGGAUCAGCCGCAGCCGAUCGCCGGAGUUGUUCAACGUGCUCGUGGUGUCUGAAUGCUGCAUGUUGAGACUGAGGAAUCG